UACGUAGGGGGCAAGCGUUGUCCGGAAUCAUUGGGCGUAAAGAGCGUGUAGGCGGCUUGGUAAGUCCGCUGUGAAAGUCCAGGGCUCAACCCUGGAAAGCCGGUGGAAACUGUCAAGCUUGAGUCCGGAAGAGGCGAGUGGAAUUCCUGGUGUAGCGGUGAAAUGCGCAGAUAUCAGGAGGAACACCAAUGGCGAAGGCAGCUCGCUGGGACGGUACUGACGCUGAGACGCGAAAGCGUGGGGAUCAAACAGG
rnacentral:rRNA from 1 species